CAGAGGCCUAUGAAGGGUUGUGUUAGUGUUUAAAAAUGGACAAAUUGGACAACAACUCCAAACCACGCACUCUCAGCAAUGGAGAAGGAGUAAAGAUUUUUUCCUGUGUGAAGAGACUUUCAGAAGACAGUGUUCUGACGGCGGAAAACGUUUAUACAGGUUUAAAUCACGUGGACUGGUUGUUGUGGAGAGACAGAGACCUCUGCGGAUAAUUCGGCUCCUGAUAAAAACGUCCUCGGAGAGAGAAGAUCACCAGGUCUGUUUGUUUGGAGAGGAGGAGACCCCUGUGGAUAAUUUGCCUCAUGGUAAAAACCUCCUGAACAUUUGGAUUGGAAAUAAG